GAUGAACGCUGGCGGCGUGCCUAAUACAUGCAAGUCGAGCGAACAGAUGAGGAGCUUGCUCCUCUGACGUUAGCGGCGGACGGGUGAGUAACACGUGGAUAACCUACCUAUAAGACUGGGAUAACUUCGGGAAACCGGAGCUAAUACCGGAUAAUAUAUUGAACCGCAUGGUUCAAUAGUGAAAGACGGUUUUGCUGUCACUUAUAGAUGGAUCCGCGCCGCAUUAGCUAGUUGGUAAGGUAACGGCUUACCAAGGCAACGAUGCGUAGCCGACCUGAGAGGGUGCUCGGCCACACUGAAACUGAGACGCGGUCCAGACUCCUACGGGGGGCAGCUGUAGAGUAUCGUCCGAAGUGGGCGAACGCCUGACGGAGCAGCGCCGCGUGAGUGAUGGAGGUCCUCGGAUCGUAAAACUCUGUUAUUAGGGAAGAACAAAUGUGUAAGUAACUAUGCACGUCUUGGCGGUACCUAAUCAGAAAGCCACGGCUAACUACG
rnacentral:rRNA from 1 species